rnacentral:rRNA from 1 species
UGCCAGCCGCCGCGGUAAUACGAGGGGUGUAAACGUUAUUCGGAAUUAUUGGGUUUAAAGGGUACGUAGGCGGCCAAUUAAGUCAGUGGUGAAAGCCAGCAGCUCAACUGUUGAACUGCCAUUGAUACUGAUUGGCUUGAGUUCUGUUAAGGUAGGCGGAAUUGAUGGUGUAGCGGUGAAAUGCAUAGAUACCAUCAGGAACACCGAUUGCGAAGGCAGCUUACUGGGCAGAAACUGACGCUAAUGUACGAAAGCGUGGGGAGCGAACAGGAUUAGAUA